UACGUAUGGUGCGAACGUUGUUCGGAAUCACUGGGCAUAAAGAGCACGUAGGCGGUCGAGCAAGCCCAUUGUGAAAUCCCCCGGCCCAACCGGGGAACUGCAGUGGAUACUACUUGGCUUGAGUGCAGGAGGGGAGAGUGGAAUUCCUGGUGGAGCGGUGAAAUGCGUAGAUAUCAAGAGGAACGCCGGUGGCGAAAGCGACUCUCUGGUCUGUAACUGACGCUGAGGUGCGAAAGCUAGGGGAG
rnacentral:rRNA from 1 species